UUAUUGUUGAAGAGUCCCAGAAUAGGACGAAACAGUUGUCUGAUAC
rnacentral:hammerhead_ribozyme from 1 species